CUAGAUUGUAAACAUGUAAAACUAAUGCUAAAUCAAAUGGCAUUAUAAUCUUUCCACUAUUAUGGCACUGUCAACAUAGUCAUAAGCAUGUCAUAGUCCUCUACUUUAGAGUCAAGAGAAUGUUAUUAUUCUCUACUUUAUAAAUGCAUCCUACACUUGUUCAUAAGUCAUUCUACAAUAUUAGACAUGAUCAUAAAUACUUUUAUGCAUGCAAUCUCUCUACUUCAUCUCUACUUCAUAGAGGUACAAUGUCAAACAUAUCAAACAUGGUGGCAAAGAUGUCCAAAUUCAUAUCAAUCACAUAGUCGCAAAAAGCGCACUACAAAACCCAUUCUAUAGUGACAUAUAGAACAUAGGGGAGCUUCACUUGCUCUGGUUAGGUCAAACCCACCUAUCACUAAGCUCAAAACGGCCCAACAGAAGCUCCAAACUCAGCUCACACGGUCUCUGGACCUGCUGAAAACAAAGCAUCAAAACCGCGUCGAAAC
rnacentral:lncRNA from 1 species